rnacentral:lncRNA from 1 species
UUGUCGACAUGAUCAAAUGGAGGAUAUUUGAGCAUCUAAACAACCUUUUUUUAGUGAAAUUUUUUAGGUGCCUCUUAUUUGAUUGUUUAGAGUCUCGGUUAUGUAUCAACUUUUUUUUUCAAUUAAUAUGAUUAUGUUGAUCUGCGCAGAUUGUGACAGGACAAGGCUUCUUGGUCACUCUACGAAUUUGAGAUGAUAUGAAUUUGAGAUGAUAUGAUAGAACCCAUUUUCCUUGGCAGACUUUGGUGCUGUAAAGAGUAAAGAGCCGGUUGCGGGUUAGAAAGGAAAAGGAAGUUAUUCAAGUCUUAGAGGAGUUUGUCGGAAAGGCCCUCUUCCAAUGCCAAAGCACUUGCCAAAGAAAGACAUGUGUAAUAAAUGUUUGGUGGUGGAGAUCUAUUGGGAUUACAUGAAUGAAUGUGCCUUUGUUUUGAGCUUUACCGUACACCAAAUUUAUGUUUCUG